GAUGAACGCUGACAGAAUGCUUAACACAUGCAAGUCAACUUGAACUUCGGUUUGGGUGGCGGACGGGUGAGUAACGCGUAAAGAACUUACCUCACAGAUAGGGACAACAUUUGGAAACGAAUGCUAAUACCUGAUAUUAUGAUUUUAGGGCAUCCUAGGAUUAUGAAAGCUAUAUGCGCUGUGAGAGAGCUUUGCGUCCCAUUAGCUAGUUGGAGAGGUAACGGCUCACCAAGGCGAUGAUGGGUAGCCGGCCUGAGAGGGUGAUCGGCCACAAGGGGACUGAGACACGGCCCUUACUCCUACGGGAGGCAGCAGUGGGGAAUAUUGGACAAUGGACCAAGAGUCUGAUCCAGCAAUUCUGUGUGCACGAUGAAGUUUUUCGGAAUGUAAAGUGCUUUCAGUUGGGAAGAAAAAAAUGACAGUACCAACAGAAGAAGUGGCGGCUAAAUACGUGCCAGCAGCCGCGGUAAUACGUAUGUCACAAGCGUUAUCCGGAUUUAUUGGGCGUAAAGCGCGUCUAGGUGGUUAUAUAAGUCUGAUGUGAAAAUGCAGGGCUCAACUCUGUAUUGCGUUGGAAACUGUGUAACUAGAGUACUGGAGAGGUAAGCGGAACUACAAGUGUAGAGGUGAAAUUCGUAGAUAUUUGUAGGAAUGCCGAUGGGGAAGCCAGCUUACUGGACAGAUACUGACGCUGAAGCGCGAAAGCGUGGGUAGCAAACGGG
rnacentral:rRNA from 1 species